rfam:Echinostoma caproni strain Egypt genome assembly, scaffold: ECPE_scaffold0007100
GAACUGCUGACGAGUCCCCAACAGGAUGAAACAGCUGUCCAGUGC